GUUCACCCUCAUCAUCCCAAUGACUUGGGAGACUGAGGCAGGAGGAUUGCUUGAGCCUGGGAGUUCUAGGCUGUAGUGCACUAUGCCCAUCAGGUCUCUGGACUGUUUGGCCUCAAUAAUGUGACCUCUUGGGAGUGGGACCACCAGAUUGCUCAAGGAGGGUGAAUUGGCCCAACUUGGAAACAGAGCAAGUCAAAACUCAUGCUGAUCAGUAGUGAGACUGCACCUGUGAGUAGCCACUACACUCCAGUCUGGGCAACAUGGUGAGACCUCAUCUAU
rnacentral:SRP_RNA from 1 species